GAUGAACGCUCGCGGGAGGCCUAACACAUGCAAGCCGAGCGGUAGAGUUUCUUCGGAAACUUGAGAGCGGCGCACGGGUGCGUAACACGUGUGCAACCUACCUUUAUCUGGGGGAUAGCCUUUCGAAAGGAAGAUUAAUACCCCAUAAUAUAAUGAUUGGCAUCAAUUAUUAUUGAAAACUCCGGUGGAUAGAGAUGGGCACGCGCAAGAUUAGAUAGUUGGUGAGGUAACGGCUCACCAAGUCAAUGAUCUUUAGGGGUCCUGAGAGGGAGAUCCCCCACACUGGUACUGAGACACGGACCAGACUCCUACGGGAGGCAGCAGUGAGGAAUAUUGGACAAGGGGUGAGAGCCUGAUCCAGCCAUCCCGCGUGAAGGAUGACGGUCCUAUGGAUGGUAAACUUCUUUUGUACAGGGAUAAACCUACCCUCGUGAGGGUAGCUGAAGGUACUGUACGAAUAAGCACCGGCUAACUCCGUG
rnacentral:rRNA from 1 species